rnacentral:rRNA from 1 species
AUUGAACGCUGGCGGCAGGCCUAACACAUGCAAGUCGCACGAGUGGCGGACGGGUGAGUAAUGUCUGGGAAACUGCCUGAUGGAGGGGGAUAACUACUGGAAACGGUAGCUAAUACCGCAUACCAUCGGAUGUGCCCAGAUGGGAUUAGCUAGUAGGUGGGGUAAAGGCUCACCUAGGCGACGAUCCCUAGCUGGUCUGAGAGGAUGACCAGCCACACUGGAACGGAGAUACGGUCCAGACUCCUACGGGAGGCAUCAGUGGGGAAUAUUGCACAAUGGGCGCAAGCCUGAUCCAGCCAUGCCGCGUGUGUGAAGAAGGGCUUCGGAUUGUAAAGCACUUUAAGUUGGGAGGCGUUACCAACAGAAUAAGCACCGGCUAACUUCGUGCCAGCAGCCGCGGUAAUUC